rnacentral:lncRNA from 1 species
GUGGGAGUCGAAGCGAGGGUCUGAAGUUCACGACUACUAGAAGGGGAGGGGAGUGGAAAGGCUCUCAGUGAAAAAGGUAUGGAACCCUUCAGAUCAAAGCUUACCAAUAAAUUCAGUAUGUAGAACAGAUUAACGUAGUUGAAAUGAGGAAGAAUGAGAGUUAUCUCAACCAGCCAGCACCCCCUAUCCCCAUUCCCACACUUUCCCUCAUGGGAGGCUGUCGGGAGCACUUCGAAAACCACUGGAAAGGCCGGGCACGGUGGCUCAUGCCUGUAAUCCCAGCACUUUGGGAGGCCAAGGCAGGCAGAUCACCUGAGGUCAGGAGUUCGAAACCAGCCUGGCCAACAUGGCGAAACCCCAUCUUUACUAAAAAUACGAAAAUUAGCCAGGUAUUAGAAUUAUUUCUGAAUUAUCAGUCUCUCAUUUGUGCUUUGGAGAAGCAGAAAAGGCAAAAGGGGUCUUUGGCCAUCUUCUGCUGGAGCUUCCAGGGAGGAUGUGUCUCCAAGAGACCAGAUGUACCGAGUUUGAAAUCCCAGAAGCCCAAGAGGAAAAGAAUCACAGGGAGGAAAAGACUGUCCAAAGGCUUCUGGAGUCUUCUGUUCUCUAACCUUGGAAGGUUUUGAACAAUAUUUCUCAGAGGAUAGCCUUUCACUUAUUCAUCUGUCCAGCAUGACUCAUCCCCGGGAGUGUUGAUGUCUGUCUUCACCAAGAAGGACGACUUUGAUUGGCUGUAAUUGGCCACUGUUGCUAAUGGAGUAGAGAGAGUCUUGCUACAUGCGGGAACUAGAAUUACAUCACUGCGUUUUUUGGCUUUGUUUCUUCAAUGGGUUGUAGUGUAUGAAUAUUAUUACAAAAUAAAAUGAUUU